rnacentral:rRNA from 1 species
AGGAUGAACGCUGGCGGCGUGCCUAACACAUGCAAGUCGAACGUCCUGUCUCGCAAGAGGCAGGGAGUGGCGGACGGGUGAGUACCACGUGGGUCAUCUACCGUGAGGUGAGGAAUACCGGCGAGAAAUCGCCGACAAGACCGCAUAGGCUCGAUGCAAGUCGAGCAAAGCUCUUUCGAGAGAGGGAGCGCCACACGAGGAGCCUGCGCCCGAUUAGCUAGCUGGUGGAGUAACGGUUCACCAGGGCGACGAUCGGUAGCUGGUCUGAGAGGACGAUCAGCCACACUGGGAUUGAGAACGGCCCAGACUCCUACGGGGGCAGCAGUGAGGAAUUUUCGUCAAUGGGGGCAACCCUGAACGAGCAACGCCGCGUGCAGGAAGAAGGUUUUCGGAUCGUAAACUGCUUUUCUCGGGGAAGAGAACGGACGGUACCCGAGGAAUCAGCCCGGCUAACUACGUGCCAGCAGCCGC